GAAAACAGCAACUUUGGGCCUUAAGCCCAAACUGAACUCAAGCCAAACCCGAGUUGGAGCAUGCUCAUACGUACAAGCUAGGUAUCGGAAUUCCCAUGUCCAAAUGUGAUGAACUCUUCAGCAGCGUGAACAAUGAAACACCUUAUCCUCCUCCAAUGGCGCUCCUUGAUUCUCACCCUCACAUCUCAAAAUUUAAUCAAAGUUUGAAGCAGAAAUCAAAUCCUACUGGGAUGUAUCCAUCAUUCACGUCCGAACUCCAUUGAAGCAAAUGGCGCACCAGAGGGAAACAAAUCAAGCAGUGCAGUUGAGCUAAAAGGCAUGGAAGAAAACUUACGGUGAUUGAAUUCCGGCGCGGUGGCUAAGGUGAUGCGUUCGUUGUUCUUCAAUCGUCGUGCUCCGCCGUUGUCGUUCGUUUUUUUAUUUGCGCCAUUGAUGAUGAAGAGGGCGUGAUGAUCGAUGUUGAUUCGUAGUGAAGCAUUGCGUUGAAUUACAGAUGAGUAUGUGAUGAUGACGAAUCAUGGAGUGAAGAGCGACGGGUGCAAGCCAUCAAAUUGUGAAAAGGUGUGAUCACGUUUCCAUUUCUGAGUUGCAAUGCCUCUUUUCCCUUUUUCUGUUCGGAACCUCUCCGAAUUUUCUUAUGUUUUCCCCGGGAAGUUUGUUAUGAAUUUCCUACUAUAUUUUUCCGACUUCUUCCAUCUCUCGUACACCCUGCUCGGAGCUUUUUCAUUGUUGUAAGAGAAUUGUGGAAUUGAAAGGUUGAGGGUCAGUGAGAGAGUUUUAAGGUUCUGGAAAUUCGGUUAGAGAUCGCCCUGGUUCAGGUUGUCGGUUCUGUGAUAUAUGGUUAUGAUAUUUUUGUAGUUAGUUUUUCCAGGUUUGUUGCAGAAUCAAAUCGUUCGUUCAGAUACGGUUAUAUAGUUAUGAAGCUGGAAAAAAAUUAGUUAGAGGGUUAGUUAUAUGUGUUAGUUCUGUCAUCACCGUUUGUUAUAAGUCACUGAUUUCCCCUAAUCAACAUUUUGAACCUCUGGCUUUGAUGGGGAACGGAAGACUUGUCAGAGCUUUGCUCACUAGAAGCAUCACUCGACUGACCUCCUGCUCUAAUGACACGCAUAAUACUCAAAUCAUGUAUCAGCAACUCCCAGAUCACUUCAGUUACAGUCAUGGAGGGAAUUAGCUCGCGAGGAAACAAAGUUCGAUCAAGACGCUUCCACAAAACUUGGCAAGGCUCGGUCAAGACAUCAAGUUUGAGGUAAUUUUUAGAGUGCUACUUGUAAAAAUGAAGAAAAAUUUAGUGUGACUAGGAUUAGGACUUAGAAGUUUAAGAAAUUGCCUUUGGAAUGCAUUGGCUUGGGUGGAAUGUAACUUUGGAUUAAAACCUUGUAGGUAAAUUUUCGAUUGAAGUUGUAAUGUGAUUGGCUUAACAUGUAUGGUUUGAAUAUAAUGGUCAUGUGUGGAACAAAUGGUUGUAAUGGAAAUUGGAAGUUGAAUGUAUGCAUGAAAAAUGUAUGGAAUUUGGCUUA